rnacentral:rRNA from 1 species
UUGUGAGCUCGAUGAGUAGGGCGGGACACGUGGUAUCCUGUCUGAAUAUGGGGGGACCAUCCUCCAAGGCUAAAUACUCCUGACUGACCGAUAGUGAACCAGUACCGUGAGGGAAAGGCGAAAAGAACCCCGGCGAGGGGAGUGAAAAAGAACCUGAAACCGUGUACGUACAAGCAGUGGGAGCCUCUUAAUGGGGUGACUGCGUACCUUUUGUAUAAUGGGUCAGCGACUUAUAUUCUGUAGCAAGGUUAACCGAAUAGGGGAGCCGAAGGGAAACCGAGUCUUAACUGGGCGUUAAGUUGCAGGGUAUAGACCCGAAACCCGGUGAUCUAGCCAUGGGCAGGUUGAAGGUUGGGUAACACUAACUGGAGGACCGAACCGACUAAUGUUGAAAAAUUAGCGGAUGACUUGUGGCUGGGGGUGAAAGGCCAAUCAAACCGGGAGAUAGCUGGUUCUCCCCGAAAGCUAUUUAGGUAGCGCCUCGUGAAUUCAUCUCCGGGGGUAGAGCACUGUUUCGGCAAGGGGGUCAUCCCGACUUACCAACCCGAUGCAAACUGCGAAUACCGGAGAAUGUUAUCACGGGAGACACACGGCGGGUGCUAACGUCCGUCGUGAAGAGGGAAACAACCCAGACCGCCAGCUAAGGUCCCAAAGUCAUGGUUAAGUGGGAAACGAUGUGGGAAGGCCCAGACAGCCAGGAUGUUGGCUUAGAAGCAGCCAUCAUUUAAAGAAAGCGUAAUAGCUCACUGGUCGAGUCGGCCUGCGCGGAAGAUGUAACGGGGCUAAACCAUGCACCGAAGCUGCGGCAGCGACACUAUGUGUUGUUGGGUAGGGGAGCGUUCUGUAAGCCUGUGAAGGUGGCCUGUGAGGGUUGCUGGAGGUAUCAGAAGUGCGAAUGCUGACAUAAGUAACGAUAAAGCGGGUGAAAAGCCCGCUCGCCGGAAGACCAAGGGUUCCUGUCCAACGUUAAUCGGGGCAGGGUGAGUCGACCCCUAAGGCGAGGCCGAAAGGCGUAGUCGAUGGGAAACAGGUUAAUAUUCCUGUACUUGGUGUUACUGCGAAGGGGGGACGGAGAAGGCUAUGUUGGCCGGGCGACGGUUGUCCCGGUUUAAGCGUGUAGGCUGGUUUUCCAGGCAAAUCCGGAAAACCAAGGCUGAGGCGUGAUGACGAGGCACUACGGUGCUGAAGCGACAAAUGCCCUGCUUCCAGGAAAAGCCUCUAAGCAUCAGGUAACAUCAAAUCGUACCCCAAACCGACACAGGUGGUCAGGUAGAGAAUACCAAGGCGCUUGAGAGAACUCGGGUGAAGGAACUAGGCAAAAUGGUGCCGUAACUUCGGGAGAAGGCACGCUGAUAUGUAGGUGAAGCGACUUGCUCGUGGAGCUGAAAUCAGUCGAAGAUACCAGCUGGCUGCAACUGUUUAUUAAAAACACAGCACUGUGCAAACACGAAAGUGGACGUAUACGGUGUGACGCCUGCCCGGUGCCGGAAGGUUAAUUGAUGGGGUUAGCGGUAACGCGAAGCUCUUGAUCGAAGCCCCGGUAAACGGCGGCCGUAACUAUAACGGUCCUAAGGUAGCGAAAUUCCUUGUCGGGUAAGUUCCGACCUGCACGAAUGGCGUAAUGAUGGCCAGGCUGUCUCCACCCGAGACUCAGUGAAAUUGAACUCGCUGUGAAGAUGCAGUGUACCCGCGGCAAGACGGAAAGACCCCGUGAACCUUUACUAUAGCUUGACACUGAACAUUGAGCCUUGAUGUGUAGGAUAGGUGGGAGGCUUUGAAGUGUGGACGCCAGUCUGCAUGGAGCCGACCUUGAAAUACCACCCUUUAAUGUUUGAUGUUCUAACGUUGGCCCGUAAUCCGGGUUGCGGACAGUGUCUGGUGGGUAGUUUGACUGGGGCGGUCUCCUCCUAAAGAGUAACGGAGGAGCACGAAGGUUGGCUAAUCCUGGUCGGACAUCAGGAGGUUAGUGCAAUGGCAUAAGCCAGCUUGACUGCGAGCGUGACGGCGCGAGCAGGUGCGAAAGCAGGUCAUAGUGAUCCGGUGGUUCUGAAUGGAAGGGCCAUCGCUCAACGGAUAAAAGGUACUCCGGGGAUAACAGGCUGAUACCGCCCAAGAGUUCAUAUCGACGGCGGUGUUUGGCACCUCGAUGUCGGCUCAUCACAUCCUGGGGCUGAAGUAGGUCCCAAGGGUAUGGCUGUUCGCCAUUUAAAGUGGUACGCGAGCUGGGUUUAGAACGUCGUGAGACAGUUCGGUCCCUAUCUGCCGUGGGCGCUGGAGAACUGAGGGGGGCUGCUCCUAGUACGAGAGGACCGGAGUGGACGCAUCACUGGUGUUCGGGUUGUCAUGCCAAUGGCACUGCCCGGUAGCUAAAUGCGGAAGAGAUAAGUGCUGAAAGCAUCUAAGCACGAAACUUGCCCCGAGAUGAGUUCUCCCUGAGACUUAGAGUCUCCUGAAGGAACGUUGAAGACGACGACGUUGAUAGGCCGGGUGUGUAAGCGCAGCGAUGCGUUGAGCUAACCGGUACUAAUGAACCGUGAGGCUUAACCUU